UACGUAGGGGGCAAGCGUUGUCCGGAAUCAUUGGGCGUAAAGAGCGCGUAGGCGGUCCGGUAAGUCGGUUGUGAAAACUGGGGGGCUCAACCCUCAGAGGCCGACCGAUACUGUCGGGCUAGAGUCCGGAAGAGGCGAGUGGAAUUCCUGGUGUAGCGGUGAAAUGCGCAGAUAUCAGGAGGAACACCAAUGGCGAAGGCAGCUCGCUGGGACGGUACUGACGCUGAGGCGCGAAAGCGUGGGGGAGCGAACAGG
rnacentral:rRNA from 1 species